CCUGGGGGAGAGAGGCCAGCGAAGGUUUUCUUUCUAGGAUUAGCGAAAAUAGCUGUCACUUUACUGCUGCUCAACUUCCCUUUAUUCCUGUAAAACCGAAACUCCUCCUCAACAACUUUGCCCGGUACACGGGAAAGGAACAUCUGAAGCAGGGAGGCAGCAACUCCGUGACUGACAAGGGAGGCUGGCAGCUGCCAGGAGGGAUGCACGGAACGGCGCGGUACCCGCGGGGCUGACCCCUCCACUUAGCGCUAAGAACAAAGCGAGAGAUAACUACGGGUCUGUUUCAAAACGCAACGCGGGAAGUUUCUGGCAUGAUCACUCGAUUGCGGAGAAAAAGGUACUCGAGAUAAAGCACAGGAGGAACUCACGAGGAAUUCAUGUGAGCACCUUCCCCAGCCAAAAGCGGUUUCUGAAACGCUCCGUUUUCCCUUUUAUCCCUCCCGCAGCCCGGGGAGGAGGCGCCACCUGCUCCCAAACGGCCGGGAAAGAGGCACUUGCCGGGAGAGCGGCGGACUCCUCGGGAGCGUCGCCUCAUCGCUUCCCUUCUCCGGCAAACUUGCGCCGGCGGCUGAGCCCCCGCCCGCCCCCCGUCCCGCAGAGCUCCGGGCAGAAAUGCUGAAUCACGAAGCCGAGGGCGCGGGACCGGGGGCUCUCCCCGACCCCCACCCGGGGCCGGCCGCCGGGACACGGAGCCGGGAGAGGCUCCGCGCGGAGGGGGAGCCCCCCGCCCGCCGCGCCGACACUCACUUGAAGCAAACAUCUGAAAGAGACAAAGCAAUGCUCCAGCCAGCCAGUGAGGAAGACCUCCUGUUCUUCACACCAAGACCCACUGAAAUACUAACAUAUCAUCUUCUACUUUCUCCACAAAGGGAAACACUACCUCUUCAUGCAGCAGUCACCAUCACAGAUUGAAUUCAAGAUGUUGUCUGUUGCUAGAAGUCCUGUCCACCUACAAAGAAAGUAAUACCAAAAAGAAUUCAGAGAACAGAAGAAAUACUGAACACUGCUGUGUUCUGGAUGUCAGAUCUGUACAGAUAUAUGCAGUCAUAGACACAGAGGGAAAUGAAAGAGAAAGAAGAGAGUACAGAGAUGGGAUGAUUUGCUCCGAAGUUGCUUUGUCACUUCCAAACAUAUGUUACCUAAUAAGACACAUUUCCUUCUUCUGCAAGCCUUGGUUCUUUCUCUACCUAAAGUAUCCAUGCCAUUUGUUCUGAAAUGUGAAGCCGAAUUGCUUCUCAGAAAAGCCGAGCUGGCUUCUGGAAUUGUGUGUAGUUGAAGUACACCAGCUAUUUUCCUGCUUCCUUGUGUUUGAAUCACAAGUUUUAUGCCAGAUAUAUAAAAAAAGAUUAACAAAUGGCUGUUAAAACUAGAGACCUUGAAACUAAUUAUGUGUGAUGCUCAAAAAAUCCUUGCUCUGCUAAUUGAGCAGAGCUCAUUACUUCCAAAGCAGGAAAGUUUUGCCACCACUUGAAGUAAAACAUACUGCAGCCAAUGCAAGGCAGGAGACACAUUUGAGCAGAUACACUUCAAAGGGCUGAGCACUGAUUGAUCUGCUAUUAUCUGACAAUUGCAACUGCUCAAAGGCACGGAGAAACUGCAAAUGUUUUGAGUUUCAAGCUUAAACACGGAGUUUUGAAGAGUUAAGCUUUGCAUUGACUGAUUAAAGUAUAAGAAUGCAGUAAAUACAAUUUAAAAGUUAAAUUACCAUAUGGUCAUAGCUAGAGGUAAAUUUCAAAAGUAGCACAUGUAAAUAGUUUCUUGCUGUCUGAGCAAAUAAUUUUACAUUUAAAUGAAGUCAUUUGGUAACUGGUCCAAUUGAUUUCUGCUUGUAGUCAGUUACUGCAAUUCAUUUCAGUUGCCCCAGGAUGAAACUCUGUAUCUGUCACGCGUAGAAUCUUCAGUGGAUACAGAUUAUGUUUGAAUGGUUAAAAACAAACCAGGUUUGCAAUCUUAAAUCCAGUGUGCUGCCUGUGCUCAAAGAGCUUUGUAAAGACAGAGAGUAAACCAUGUGGGCCUGAGCCCCUCCAAGGAGUUCAGUGCAGGCAUAAUUCGGUUUAGUCAAGUAGGAUUUGCAUUUUGGAGUUACUGGGAGCACUGCAACGGUGAAAGACAUACUGAGAUUUACUGGGAAAAUCCUAAUUACAACCCUUUUUUCUUUGUUACCAAAUUGCUUCUAAGUCUAUUCAGGCAACAGAAAGUUUCUCUUUGAUGAAUUCUUCCUAAAGCCCAGUGAAAGUUCCUAUGUUUUUGCUUUCACUUUCAGCUGUGGCCAGAAGCCAGAACAAGCAGGAGAGGAAAGCUUACUACUUUGGUCCUGUGAUCCUUAGGAGACAAAGAAAUCCAAUAUCCUCAGGAUGACCCAUCCUUUUCAAAGGGGAUAUAGUAUUUCAAGUUCAGCUCACAACCCCCUAGUAAGCCUUCUCACCAUGGCAGUCACAGACUGUGCUUAAUAUCAGCCUUGAAAAUUCCACCCCCUCAGUAUUUACCAAGGGAUAUCAACAAGAAGAGAUCACAUGGUAAGCACUGCUUGGUGGAUCCUCAUGGAUGCUCAUUUCCCACCCCUGACACAGAUGGCAAGUAGCAGAGAAUCCUCUGUGACCCAUAUUCACAUCCAUUUGUCACCUGUUUCAUAUGCUUGUGCAAAAUGAGAGAUUUCAAGCUCAGAAAAAGCUUGCCAUAGUUGUUACUGGAUUAAAGAGAAUCUCUUUUUCAGCUCAUACAACAAAUGCAUUUUCUGCCUUUGAAGACACCCGAGUUAAGCCUUAGUCUAUGGGCAGGAUUGUUCAGAGUCUUGGAGCGCCUGCAGUAGAGGGAACAUCCGUGAUUUGACACUCUACCAGCAAAUGGUAGAGUGACUUGGGUUAUGUAAUAUCAGUUCAAAGGUCAGGGACAAUACAAAGGUGGGACAAGCCCCAGUAAUGAGAAUAAUUGGAUUCUUCAUCUACUGAGAGGAGGCAGACUAUGGCAUAGGCAGAUGAGAUUCCCCACUCCAGCAGGUUCACCCAUCAGCUGAAGAGAUAAGUAUUUUCCAUUUCUGUGUGCAUGAUUUGGGUGUUCAGAAAUCCAUGAAACAGGGAGUGGAGGAGCAAAAGCAUUUUUCUUUCCUUACUGAGAAUGGAUCUGCACUUCUCCUCUGAGGGAAGCAUUGAAGAAGUUUCCCAAAGCCAAAGAAAGUCCUCAGCCUUGCCCUUGCCUGACAGAUCUUUUUUAUUGCAGCCAAGCAAGGGAAAAGUACAGGCAAUAGGGUUGAGUCAUAAGAGUUAUCAUUUGCAACAGUCAUCUAUUUAUUGCUGAUUAACUAUAAGACAGUAUUAUAAGAAUUUUUAUGCACUUCAUGGAAAUCAGUUAAUGACUCAGAACCACUGAAAUUAAAAAGGGAAAACCCAAGAUAGGCCACCCUCUGGAUAAGCAGAUGAGGAAUUCUUAUAUGACCCAACAUUUUUUUCACUUACAUUGCAUAGCGCUGGAUGACAUUUUCACUCUUCCUGGAGCAUCGUUUCCAAGUACAAGCAGAAUGUGUGUGAGGCUGUUUAAAGAAAGUCCUGCUAGGAAGAAGUUGUUUUAAAAGGACAGCUUUCCCAAGAAAUGGACAUUAGUCACUCAGACACCGUAUGCUGCCCACGAGCCUGUGCAAGGACACGUGUGUAUUGUCAUGUGGCUGUACUGCUGGAUGCUGAGCUGCUGAGGUCAAGUGCAGGUUAUCUAUACAUUUUCAGAGGACCAUGGAUUGAAAAGAAGAAAGAAAUAAACAGUAGAUUUCAUCUUUCAGCGGUCAUUGCCACAUGCUGGUUUUGGAAAUCAAGUGACAAGAUGAUCACGACACAAUUCAGUUCACUGUUGCUAACACAGUCAAGUUGUCCUGGAAGAGAAGCUUCCUCAGAACUCAAAACUGAUUCCUUGGCUUUCUACAGAAACUCAGUCAGAUCUGACUCAUUCCUGCAGAAUAUCCUC